AUUGAACGCUGGCGGUAGGCCUAACACAUGCAAGUCGAGCGGCUGCAGAGUGAUUGCUCGUGCUUUCGGCUGCCGAGGGGCGGGUGAUUCCUGGAAAUAUCCCUGUUUGCUGGUGCUUGCGUGAGGACGCGGGCGAUCUUACGCUAUUCCUGCAGACGACGUACGGGUGGGAGCUUCGGAUCUUCGGACCUCGGGCGAGCCUAGGUCGGAUUAGCUAGUUGGUGGGGUAAAGGCGUACCAAGGCGACGAUCCGUAACUGGUCUGAGAGGAUGAUCAGUCACACUGGAACUGAGACACGGUCCAGACUCCUACGGGAGGCAGCAGUGGGGAAUAUUGGACAAUGGGCGAAAGCCUGAUCCAGCCAUGCCGCGUGGGUGAAGAAGGCCUUCGGGUUGUAAAGCACUUUUAUUGGGGAAGAAAAGCAGUAAGUUAAUACCUUGCUGUUUUGACGGUACCAAAAGAAUAAGCACCGGCUAACUUCGUG
rnacentral:rRNA from 1 species